rnacentral:rRNA from 1 species
CUCGAAAGAGUGGCUAAUACCGCAUACGCCCUACGGGGGAAAGGGGGGGAUCGCAAGACCUCUCACUAUUGGAGCGGCCGAUAUCGGAUUAGCUAGUUGGUGGGGUAAAGGCUCACCAAGGCAACGAUCCGUAGCUGGUUUGAGAGGACGACCAGCCACACUGGGACUGAGACACGGYCCAGACUCCUACGGGAGGCAGCAGUGGGGAAUUUUGGACAAUGGGGGAAACCCUGAUCCAGCCAUCCCGCGUGUAUGAUGAAGGCCUUCGGGUUGUAAAGUACUUUUGGCAGAGAAGAAAAGGUAUCUYCUAAAUACGAGAUACUGCUGACGGUAUCUGCAGAAUAAAGCACCCGGCUAACUUACCGUGCCAGCAGCCCGCCGGUAAUACGUAAGGUGCAAGGCGUUUAUCUGGAAUUACUGGGCCGUUAAAGCCGUAGUUGUAGGCGGGUUCCGCAAAGAAAAAGAAUGUGAAAAUCCCCACGGGCUUCAAACUCUUUGGGAACCUGGCAAUUUUUUAAACUU